rnacentral:tRNA from 1 species
GUAAAAGUAACUCAAAUACUUAGAGUGUUGCACUGAAGAUGCAAAAGUGAAAAAUUUUCCUUUUACA